AACGAACGCUGGCGGCAGGCUUAACACAUGCAAGUCGAACGCCCCGCAAGGGGAGUGGCAGACGGGUGAGUAACGCGUGGGAAUCUACCGUACCCUACGGAACAACAGUUGGAAACGACUGCCAAUACCGUAUACGCCCUACGGGGGAAAGAUUUAUCGGGGUAUGAUGAGCCCGCGUUGGAUUAGCUAGUUGGUGGGGUAAAGGCCUACCAAGGCGACGAUCCAUAGCUGGUCUGAGAGGAUGAUCAGCCACAUUGGGACUGAGACACGGCCCAAACUCCUACGGGAGGCAGCAGUGGGGAAUAUUGGACAAUGGGCGCAAGCCUGAUCCAGCCAUGCCGCGUGAGUGAUGAAGGUCUUAGGAUUGUAAAGCUCUUUCACCGAUGAAGAUAAUGACGGUAGUCGGAGAAGAAGCACCUGCCAACUACGUGCCAGCAGCCGCCGUAA
rnacentral:rRNA from 1 species